rnacentral:rRNA from 2 species
UACGUAGGGUGCGAGCGUUAAUCGGAAUUACUGGGCGUAAAGCGUGCGCAGGCGGUUUUGUAAGUCUGACGUGAAAUCCCCGGGCUUAACCUGGGAAUUGCGUUGGAGACUGCAAGGCUGGAGUCUGGCAGAGGGGGGUAGAAUUCCACGUGUAGCAGUGAAAUGCGUAGAGAUGUGGAGGAACACCGAUGGCGAAGGCAGCCCCCUGGGUCAAGACUGACGCUCAUGCACGAAAGCGUGGGGAGCAAACAGG